rnacentral:rRNA from 1 species
UACGUAGGUCGCAAGCGUUGUCCGGAUUUACUGGGCGUAAAGAGCGCGCAGGCGGCUGGUCAAGUCCGAUGUGAAAUCUCCCGGCUCAACUGGGAAACUGCAUCGGAAACUGAUCGGCUUGAAGAUGGGAGAGGGUAGUGGAACUCCCGGUGUAGUGGUGAAAUGCGCAGAUAUCAGGAGGAACACCGAUGGCGAAGGCAGCCAUCUGGACCGACACUGACGCUGAGGCGCGAAAGCGUGGGGAGCAAACAGG